AUUCAUCUGACGAGUCCAAAAUAGGAUGAAACGUGCAUCCUAUAU
rnacentral:hammerhead_ribozyme from 1 species